ACAAUAUCUUUGAUGAGGGGCCAGGGACUGAUCUACGCUGCCAUGCCCAUCAAUGGGGUGCUGGCAAAGACCUCACCCCAGCCUCACAUCUUGCCUGCUCACCAACAGGCGUCGAUAUGGAGAACAGACUUCACCGUAGUAUAUAUUUGUGUGUCAGAUAUCACCUAUCCCUAACUCACAUAGGUAAUAGAACAGUGACUGUGCGUGUGUUCACAGAUGCAUGAGAUGCAGAGAUAUCUGGCGCUCAACACAACCACUCAACACAACCACUCAACACAUCCACAAUAAGAUGGACUGGAGAUGCUUUUGCCAGACGGCAGCCUCAGGCGUUUGAUCGGGAGCCCAUCAUUGGAAACAUGUAUGGAGCCAGCACAUGGAGACUUGCAAGAUGAUGUGAUUGAAGUCCAGACUGACAGACGGGCUUGUUACUGAUGUCUCUGAAUGAAGAGAGAUUUGGUCACCAGGCUGCUCGUUAUGGCAUACACCUGUCACCAUCGUUACGCGCAUUAUGACACUCACCUGGACUCCAUCACCUCCUUCCCCAGGCAUUAUUGUUUCUGUUUCAUGUCUGUGUGCUGUUCAAGUUUCUUGUUUUGUAUUAUGUUUAGUUUAUUUAUUAAAACACUGACUCCUUGAACUUGCUUCCUGACUCUCAGUGCACAUC